CCUACGGGAGGCAGCAGUGGGGAAUUUUGGACAAUGGGCGCAAGCCUGAUCCAGCCAUGCCGCGUGCGGGAAGAAGGCCUUCGGGUUGUAAACCGCUUUUGUCAGGGAAGAAAAGGUUCUGGUUAAUACCUGGGACUCAUGACGGUACCUGAAGAAUAAGCACCGGCUAACUACGUGCCAGCAGCCGCGGUAAUACGUAGGGUGCAAGCGUUAAUCGGAAUUACUGGGCGUAAAGCGUGCGCAGGCGGUUAUGCAAGACAGAUGUGAAAUCCCCGGGCUCAACCUGGGAACUGCAUUUGUGACUGCAUAGCUAGAGUACGGUAGAGGGGGAUGGAAUUCCGCGUGUAGCAGUGAAAUGCGUAGAUAUGCGGAGGAACACCGAUGGCGAAGGCAAUCCCCUGGACCUGUACUGACGCUCAUGCACGAAAGCGUGGGGAGCAAACAGGAUUAGAUACCCUGGUAGUCCACGCCCUAAACGAUGUCAACUGGUUGUUGGGAGGGUUUCUUCUCAGUAACGUAGUUAACGCGUGAAGUUGACCGCCUGGGGAGGUACGGCCGCGAGGUAGUAAACGUUAAAGUAAGUAAGUAGUACGCGUGAGAGCGACGACGACGACGACGAGGGAGGAGG
rnacentral:rRNA from 1 species